rnacentral:rRNA from 1 species
UACGUAGGGGGCAAGCGUUGUCCGGAUUUAUUGGGCGUAAAGAGCUCGUAGGUGGUUCGGUAAGUCGGAUGUGAAAUCUCCAGGCUCAACCUGGAGGGGUCAUUCAAUACUGCCGUGACUAGAGGUCGGUAGGGGAGUGUGGAAUUCCUGGUGGAGCGGUGAAAUGCGCAGAUAUCAGGAGGAACACCCGUAGCGAAGGCGGCACUCUGGGCCGAUACUGACACUGAGGAGCGAAAGCGUGGGGAGCGAACAGG